UGAUAAACACCUCAUGGGCACGACCUUUGCAUCUCCUCCUCUUCCCUUAAUUCAGAUCCUCUUCCCCAAUGGAGACCCACCCUCUUCGCCAUAGACGGUGCUUUGCAUUUCCCUUACAACCCUUCGAAACUCAUUGGCUUGGGAAAGACCUGCAAUUUUGGAUUUCCCCUCUUGUUUGUGACAGGAAACGGAUAAGAAUUCUGCAUGUCAAGUGUUUGAAGAUAUUUCCGAGAGACAACCCAUCAACCCAUCAAACCAUCAACCCAGUGUUGUUGAAAAACUUAUCGUAUAUUAACCUCUUAUAAAAUGACUAUUCUGUUUGUAAUGGAGCAUAAAAGUUUUUAAGAAUUCAAAUGAGACAUUGUAAAGGGAAGGGAGUGUCACUACAAGAAAUUAGUCUUAUAGAGAAUAAGAAUAAGAAUGAUGAAUGAAUCGUCUCUCACUAGGCCAUAUGUAUGUAGUAUUGCUAUCAAACUCUUGAGAUUUUAAUGACAAUAACUUGCCUACUACUCAACUAAUGGCGGUAGUAGUAGGAAUGACGAUUUUUAAACUUCUAACAAUUGAUCUUAAACAUUAGGAAUGACAAUUUUUAAACUUUCCCCUCUUGCGAAUCACAAGAGUUAAUGUCCAUGCUAGUUUCACCUCCCUUUUCCAAUUUUGGUUAUUCAUAAAUUUCUCAUUUACGUAUUCUUGUUUUUUUUUGGGCUGCUUACAGGAUAAAGAUGUGUCUAGUGAUAUAUAGAACAUUAGAAUCGUAUAUGUUUCUGUUGUUAUUUUUCAAGCCUCUUAGUAUUGCUUUUGAGACAUUACAAGUACUUUUAUUGGGAAGUCUUUUCAUUUUCAUAAUGGAUAGAUCUAUCUAUAGAUCAUGUAACAUUUUUCCCGUAGAACAUAUAAUAAACACAGGCUGAAGGUUCUUUAGUCUGCAAAUUGUUUUUUGUAGGCUAUUUUGAUUCAUGGUUUUCAAUUGCUCAAUAUAUGGUUCCAUGAUUCGGCAGGGAACAACACAAAUUGCCAAAGGUCCAAACUCCUUGAUAUAUCAAUAGCAGGUUGUUUGCAAACUUUUUUUAUGUAGCCAUGUUAUUUUGUUGUUGUGUUACCAAGUGGUUGGGGGUUCUCAUGUUUUCUGGUCCCGUUAUUCACUUUUUCCUUAUUUGCUUAUAGCUCCCAAAUUUUUUUGUGAUGCAUUUAUUUUGUUGUUUUCUUUCUUCAUUCCUCUAACUUAGUAUUCCCUGUUCUUUAAAGAAGAUGUGUUUUGUGAAGCAUGGCACUGUAGUUUUCUUUAUAUUCUUUUCCCUUUUCGCCAUAUAAAAAUAAAAUUAUUUGAAUGAACAGGUAAAACAUGUUAAGCCAACUAUGUUACAAUUUUUUUCUUGUCCACUUAUAUCUCAUAAAAGAAAAAAAAUUUAGUGCUGCAUUUAUUUUGCUGUUUUCUUUCUUUCUUCCUCUAAGCCAGUAUUUUAUGAUCUUGAAAGAAGAUGUGUUUUGUGAAGCGUGGCAGUGUAUAGUUUUCUUAAUUUCUUUUCCUUUCUUUUCUUUUCUUUUCUUUUCUCUUUUUUUUUUUCCUUCCUAUAAACGUAAGGGGGUUUGUUGCUUGGUGCAAUAGUAAAAGCUCUACAAGACCUUUUUACCUAUGCCUAGCCUGCUCAGUUAGUGUCAAUGUCAAGAAAAUGCACCAAUCUCUAUCUUUUUUUCUUAAAGGUUUAUAUGUUUGUGAUUAUUUUAACUCGACAUGUUUUUAGUUGGUGGGUUGUCUUGGCAAUGUUUAUAUAUUUAUUAAUUCUUUCUAAGACCAUGGCUUUCCAUGAUUCUUGGCAAUCAUUCAUUUUCUAUUGUUAUUGUUGAUGCUGUUGCUAAAGACCAAGGGUACUUCUAAUUGUUGUUGUGGAUUGGAUUUGUCAUUAUUGUAACUUAACAAAUUUGAGUGCGGGUUCAUUCUAUGAAUGGAAAGGCAUUCUCAUAUGGAACUUGGGUUUUCUUCUGGACAUCAUGACGUUAUUGAUGGCACUCUGUCAUUAUGUGCAUAUCUGGUGGCUUCAUGGCAUGAAAUUUCAUCUUGUGGAUGUAGUUCUUUUCCUAAAUAUAUGUGUAAAGUUUCUCACUAUUUUUUUGCAGCAAUAUAUUGAGAUUCAUUUGACUUGGACUUUUCAACAUUAUUAUUUCAUGUUUAUUUUGUUUAACACUUCAUAUUAUUGACCAGGCCUUGUUAGGUGCAAUUGUAAAACGUAUCAAAUGAUUUAUUAGGUUGAAGAUAGCUUUAGGCAUCCUUCAUGGAGCACUUCCAGAUGCAACACUUGAGGAGAUUGAAGCAUAUGAUGAUGAAUGUGCUAUUUGUAGGGAACCAAUGGCAAAGGCGAAGAGACUGUCUUGUAAACAUCUUUUCCAUCUAACAUGUUUGAGAUCUUGGUAUGAUCUAUGUUGCGUGUUACAAUCUUGGACCCCCCCAUCAUGAGCAGAGAGGAAUUUGAAGCUCGGAAAGCUGAUCUAUGAAGGAAGCAUACAACGGAAUCUAUUGCUGCAAAGUAUCAAUGAUGAUGAAGGAAUUCCAGGCAGGAGCAGAUUGGGCAGGAAGGGUAAAUUUUUGGUUUUAAAUAAUUGUGUCCCUUUCUACCUUAGGGAGCUUUGGUGUUCGUAAUGCUCACAACAAGGAGUCCCAAAACCUACCAAUUCAGUGUUAAAUUGCCAAUAACCAUAUUUUUUGCUUUCACAUUUUGAACACAAUGGCAUGGCAUACAUUCAGAGAAACAUGUCCUCAAAGAUGUAUAUACGCCUGCAUUUUCUUCCCCUCCCUAAUCACACUAUUUAACCCACAAACACACCAUCUCUAACACCAUCCCCCACCAAUCCCUUAGGAUACAUGUUUGGAUUUGGAUUUGGAAUUGAGUAGGGCUUUGCAAAUCCCCCUCAAAUCCAUCAUCCAAACACAAUAUUAAAGAAAACCAACAAUAGAGCAGAGGAAAAACUAUUCCCAUUACACAAACAAACAACUAUAAGCCCUACCCAUUAGCUAUCAUUCUCUUCCGGUUAUGAAACUUCAUAGAUGGUGUUGUUGGAAACCUGUCUUCCACUUCAUUUAUAGAAAUAUGAAUUGUACUCAAAGCUGAAAUUAUGCACUAUACCUUGUAGUUUUUAUUAAUCAGUUCUAUGACGCUGAAUUAUGGGUGGCAUGAGUAUCCUAAAAAGUUAUCCUAAUAUCCUAUUGUUGUUUCUCUGAUAAGGAGUU